AACGAACGCUGGCGGCAUGCCUAACACAUGCAAGUCGAACGAGACCUUCGGGUCUAGUGGCGCACGGGUGCGUAACGCGUGGGAACCUGCCCUUAGGUUCGGAAUAACUCCCCGAAAGGGGUGCUAAUACCGGAUAAUGUCUUCGGACCAAAGAUUUAUCGCCUUUGGAUGGGCCCGCGUUGGAUUAGCUAGUUGGUAGGGUAAAAGCCUACCAAGGCGACGAUCCAUAGCUGGUCUGAGAGGAUGAUCAGCAACACUGGGACUGGGACACGGCCCAGACUCCUACGGGAGGCAGCAGGGGGGAAUAUUGGACGAUGGGCGAAAGCCUGAUCCAGCAAGGCCGCGUGAGUGAUGAAGGCCUUAGGGUUGUAAAGCUCUUUUACCCGGGAUGAUAAUGACAGUACCGGGAGAAUAAGCUCCGGCUAACUCCGU
rnacentral:rRNA from 1 species